UUCUGAUAUACAUGUGACAUUGAGAAAUUAUUGUUUGUUUGCAGUCUGACAACAGAUUAACCAAUUAUUGCGCAACAGCCCAGUGUAUUGCACAACAGCAAGAAAUCUUUAAUUGAAUAUACAUGUAGAUUCAAUUCUUGAAUUCAUAUAAACUGCUACUUUUGCAUAGGUAAUGUUUCUGUACUUAAAAUCUGUAGUACUGGACAUUUACUUUUGAUAUUUAGUAUCAUAACUUUCUUUACUUAAAAAAUUAUUGUAACAUUUAGGUACGGUACAUGUAUUGUACAGUUCAUGUACUUGUUUUGUACUAUAAUUUUUUGUACAAAUAAUACCCACAGUGAUCAUAUUAUUCCAUGUUUGAAAAUCGUAA
rnacentral:lncRNA from 1 species